GAUCCUGAAACUACUGUAGCUGAACAGAUAAAAUCUCUGCCACUCUCUCAGCUAGCGAUCCUAUAUCAAUAUCUCCCAAUCUAGAAGUAGGCACGGUACAGCUUAAUGGGGGUACUUUGAUCAAGGGUCCUGUCUCAAGCUCUGAAACAUGGUGGUUUGCUGGGCUCGGCCUAGGCACAGGAGAAGAAAGACCCUCCCUCUUAGAAUGCUCCUCAUCCUCAUCACUAUCCUCCUCUGCAACAUGACUCUUGGCCCAC
rnacentral:lncRNA from 1 species